AUUGAACGCUAGCGGGAUGCCUUACACAUGCAAGUCGAACGGAGUGGCGAACGGGUGAGUAAUGUAUCGGAACGUGCCUAGUCGCGGGGGAUAACUACGCGAAAGCGUAGCUAAUACCUCCUACUAUUGGUCCGGCCUAUACCGGAUUAGCUAGUUGGUGGGGUAACGGCUCACCAAGGCGACGAUCCGUAGCUGGUUUGAGAGGACGACCAGCCAAACUGGGACUGAGACACGGCCCAGACUCCGACGGGAGGCAGCAGUGGGGAAUUUUGGACAAUGGGGGAAACCCUGAGCCAGCCAUGCCGCGUGUGCGAUGAAGGCCUUCGGGUUGUAAAGCACUUUUGGCAGGAAAGCGGUACCUGCAGAAUAAGCACCGGCUAACUACGUGCCAGCAGCCGCGGUAAUAC
rnacentral:rRNA from 1 species